GUUCUAUGAAAAAUUAAAAAAAACUAUUUCUACUUAGGCAAGUUAGGUGGCCACCUCAUGCUCACUGUGGAUUUGAAGUUGCUUUACUCACCAUAGGGCAGACUGAUCAGUGACUUAAGGGCCUGAGACCAGGAGGGGGCGACUUGCUCUGUCUGCUUCUGGGUGCAGGGCCCCUCCACUCAGUCUGCCCAGAAAGAGACAGCUAAUCAGCCUCUAGGUAUGCAGCUCUGCUGUGUAUAGUGUUGCAGACUGUGAACUAGGUGUCUUCCAAGCUCCAGCCAAUCAGAG